AAUUCGGGGGUGCGCAUCCGAAUAUGGAUACGGGUGUGGGGAUUCAGCUAAUAAAAAAUAGAGCUAUAAAAAUAUUGUAAUUUUGAGAGAUAUUCUGGGAAAAACUUACAUGAAUAUUGUAGAAUUCAAUCUUCAUUCUCCAAGAUGGACAUUAUUCUUUCAUUCUCCUAAAUUCCUAAAUCUGUUUUAUUUUGAAUUUUGAUAAAUCAGAAUCUCAAUUUUUCUCCCAAAUUUGUCGAUAGAUUCCGGUCAAAGUGUCCGAAGUCAAUUGACCGAAUCCGGAACGUAUCC
rnacentral:lncRNA from 1 species